rnacentral:rRNA from 1 species
CAGCAGCCGCGGUAAUACGUAGGUGGCAAGCGUUGUCCGGAAUUAUUGGGCGUAAAGCGCAUGUAGGCGGUAAUUUAAGUCUGUCGUGAAACUGCGGGGCUCAGCCCCGUAUGGCGAUGGAAACUGGGUUACUUGAGUGCAGGAGAGGAAAGGGGAACUCCCAGUGUAGCGGUGAAAUGCGUAGAUAUUGGGAAGAACACCGGUGGCGAAGGCGCCUUUCUGGACUGUGUCUGACGCUGAGAUGCGAAAGCCAGGGUAGCGAACGGGAUUAGAUACCCCGGUAGUCCUGGCCGUAAACGAUGGGUACUAGGUGUGGGAGGUAUCGACCCCUUCCGUGCCGGAGUUAGCGCAAUAAGUACCCCGCCUGGGGAGUACGGCCGCAAGGCUUAAACUCAAAUAAAUUGACGGAG